GAUGAAGAACGCAGCGAAAUGCGAUAAGUAAUGUGAAUUGCAGAAUUCAGUGAAUCAUCGAAUCUUUGAACGCACCUUGCGCCCUUUGGCUAUUCCGAAGGGCAUGCCUGUUUGAGUAUCGUGAACACCUCAACUCUCAUGGUUUGCCAUGAUGAGCUUGGACUUUGGGGGUUUUGCUGGCCUUUGGUCGGCUCCUCUCAAACGGAUCAGCUUUCCAGUGUUUGGUGGCGUCACUGGUGUGAUAACUAUCUACGCCUGUGGUUUUCUGCCAGAUAACCUUCAGCGAUGGAGGUUCGCUGGGGCUCAUAAAUGUCUCUCUUCAGUGGAGACAGCUUUUUGGACGUUUGAUCUCAAAUCAGGUAGGACUACCCGCUGAACUUAAGCAUAUCAAUAACGGAGGA
rnacentral:misc_RNA from 1 species